CUCUCAUCUUCAGUCGAGCUGCUCCAGGAUCUCUAACUCGGAGCUCACCAACGGCCCAGAGUGACGGCACGUCCGUUUGUAGAUAAAUUCAUGGUGUCUCAUACAUUUCAAUUGGAGUGUGUGUCCAUGGAAGAGUGUUUGUGUUGCUGUGAGCCAUGAACCCUCUCGCUGUCGUCUGCACUCGGGCGUUUUUCUGAAGCUGGCACAUCCUGCUGAUCCUGCUCAGCUGCUUUGUAGUUCCCCUCACACACUCACACACACACACACACACACACACACACACACACAUUUGCAUCAAAUUUCUGCUAUCUUCAGUGUUUGGGAUCAUUUGCAUGAUGUUGUUUGCUAUCUGACAGGGUGUGCACUUGACUGUGUCGGGACUUAAAGAGGGUCGGUACAUGAAAUCAAGGACGGGGAUCGCUGUGAGGGAUGGAUGGAGGGAGGGAGGAGAGAGGAGAGAGGGAGGGAGACGCAUCUGCUCUUUCCUCUUCAUAACUAAGUCCAAUAUUUCUACGAGAGAAGAAACAUUUCUCUGCACUCUCACACAAAUGGACCUUAUCUGUGCUGAGAGAUUCAGUCGGAGCGGGCCAGAACAUCUCUAAUGUGGUAAUGUCUUUAGGGGAGGAGCCGUUUAAAAGGACAACAUGAAAUAAAUGUAAUACUGAACAUGAUGUCUGUAUGAAGAGGACGGUGUUAUGGUGGAGGAGGAGGAGGAGGAAGAGGAGGAGGAGGAGGAGGAGUGUAUCUGUGAGGAAAUGUUUGAGAUUCAUGUUAAAGUCAUUUUAGAGCUAAACAUGUGUGUACGGUCUGGGGUUCGACAACAGUUCAGGUCACAAUAACUCACAAUUUUCACAACAUCUAGAACGGUGAACGGCGGCUAUUUUGGAUCCGUUUAUGAGGCGAAUUUCGUGGCGGAUUACUGAGCGGAGGAAUCGAGAGAACUCACAAGAACCUGCAGAUUCACCUUCAAUCCUGCGAUAACGAGUCGUCUUUAGCCACAUAGACAUAUAAGCAGUAGAUUGUGUCCUCUGACUGUGGUUUUGGUGCUGGAUCAUCAUGUUAGCAUGGUACACCUGAAGAAACCCAGGAGGACACCCCUCCAGGUGAAACCAGGUCAACGACCCGCUAAUGACUCUCAGGUGACCUUUACCCUCUUUACAGCUGGAGGACCAACAGAGACUCUGGUCCCAGAGACUCGAGGACUGAAGAGGCCUUUUAGGAGAAACAUCUUCAAGAACCUCAAACAAGUCCAGUUACCCUUUCAAUGAAGACCUGGAUCACCAUGACCCGGAUGAAGGACAUUUUUCCAACAUGGCGGCGGCCCUCCACCAUCACAGGACGCCAAAACGUCUCUGAAGAAACCGAAGGCUGAAAGGACGUCAAAGUUUAAGAUCAUCUUUGCUCCAAACCUCAGAAAUAAAGAAACAUCGACCAUAUUUGUUAUUUUUUUAAUCUUUUGUUGUUUUAAAUAUUUGACAGAAAGUUUGAGGUCUUUCCAAAAUAAACUCUUUCUCAUCAGUUUAACGUUUUAAUACGAUCUUCUUCUUCGGUCUUUACCAUGAAAAUAAAACAAUCCCAGACUUCUAAAUGACGUUUUUCUGUUUCGUGAUUCAAAGUCGAUCCAGACUGAAGUGAAACCUCGGCUCAGAUAUUCAUCAGAUUAAAAGAGACUUGUUGGUGACUUCCUCUAAACUAAACUUGACGGUUUGUCCCUUUAAUCAGACGUCUGUCAAACCUCACUGAGGGUCUCUUUAUUCCUCCCUCUGUCAUAUUAGCCGAGCCAAUUAGAGAGCGAUCUGAAAGGUGUGUGCAGAUUAAUGAGGGACAUCUUCACGGGUGCAGCUGGGAGUCGACCUCUCCGAUGGGAAAUGAAUGAGAUCACACGCCGUUUUUCCAGUUGUUGUCUUCAGGUUGAUGAAGCUGGGUGGAGCAGCUGGAGGUAAAUCAUCCACAGAGUGCUCCACAAUGAGACAGCCACACUUGAUCAGGUGUAUUGAUGGCUCUUCUACAACCUCAUCUCCAAUCUGUGAGAGCAGAUUGUUCGGGUACGUUAGCGCCUCGGAAACCGUUUGAUUGGAAGUUGGAGCUGCAGACUGUCACAUUACCGACUGAGGUUGAUGGAUACUGUCGAGUCAUGGAGGGGGGCGGUCCUCCGAGUCUUUAAAGUUUUCUAAACGGUGCAGUUUAUCUGUGUUUCCAGUUCAAUAGACUCAGGAAGGAGAGACAAAGGAGGGAACGAAAGAAGAAGACACUGUUCGCUAAAGUCAGAACUACACCUCUGCUCAGAAAUGUCAAAAAUCAUCGUCAUGGUUACAAUGGUCGAACCGACAUCAGGAUUUUUACAAACGAGUCGAUUUCUGCGUCACGUUCAUGUUCGCAACUUCAAACCUCUUUGGCAGCGGCCGCCAUAUUGGUAAUGUUAAAUCAGUGUUCGACCAGAGGCGGGUCUUCAGCCUCCUGCUGAAUACCUGUCAGUCAAGGCAGGUACGCUUCUGAUUGGUUGAUCUCUUAACAUGAAGACCAUCCAAACAAAACAGACAGUUUUCACUCCAAGAACAAAAGGAGCUCUGAGGACUUCCUGAUCGUCUCCUAAAAGGUCGUAUCCUCCGAUCGUAGCUGAUCGUAACCAUUCAACUUAAUCUGUCCGGCUUCUCUCCGUUCCUCUGCGGAUCGCCGGACUCCUCAGCUGAUCACAAGAGUUCUUCAUUCUAAGUCCCAAGUCCCAAGUCCCAAGUAAGUCCAACUGUCCUUUCCAAAAGAGUGUUACCCCCAACUCGCGAUUCCUGCUGUCCGUAAGUUGCCACGAAAUUCGCCUCACGCACGGAUCCAGUAGGAAUUGGCUGAUGGCAAAAAUCGCAGCUGUUCUGGAUCGGAGCCUGUCUAGAUGUGGUGAAAAUUGGGGGUAAAAGAGUCUGAAGCUGAAUCUAGAGUCUUAGUUCAAAGACGGUUCCUCUGAUUCCUCCUAAAAGCAUUUGAGGCUCCACUUUGGAUCUACAAAAGUCAUUUUCUGAGGCUCCACUUCCUUAAAAAGUUGUUAAAGUUGAAAAAGUUUCAUCUGCAGCUGAAAUCUUCUGACCCUUCAUCAGAGACGAUCAUUGAAAUUCAGUUUUGAAGAGUUUUGAAAAAGGUAAAAUCAUCCCUGAUACUUGACACCGACACCUGAACUCGUCUCAGUUUUUUAAACUCUACAGAUUUUCAUCCUCACUUCUUCAUUUCUUUACUGAGUCGAUCUCUAAGAAGCUUUUUUAUCUCCGCUCGGUGUGUGACCUUUUCAUUUACAGACAGGAAGUUUGAAGUUCACCUUGAAUUUAAUAAAAAUGUCAUGAGUUGAUGUUUUUGCAGCACAGUGACUGACUCCAGCCUCCGUAUAGAUCUAUGUUUAAACGUCUACAUUCAGCCUCUAACAUAGAUGUUCUCCAUCUGGGCUGAACUCCGGCUGACAUCUGCUGGAUUGCAUCCCUGGUCUCCCUGAUAUCUAUACCGGCCUGUUUGAGUGAUUGGAAGGAGGCGCUGCUGCACUCACGCUUCAUCUCAGAGAUCCCCGGAGAGCCCUCCAUCAUCCUCCUCCGCUCGCUCCUCAGCUUCCUCCAUCAGACUCCACCGACUGGAUCACUUCCUGUUUGUUUCUGCUGAAGCUGCUCACCAACAUCUCACAUGUUUUCCUCACUAAUGUAUUUAACACUAGAGCUCUUCUGUAAAGCCUUAAAACACAAAAGCUGGGAAAUGGAAAAGUCUGGGACCUGACUCCGAUGAAACCCGACACCGUGAUCCAGAACCGAGGUCUGGGGUUUGAUAAAAACAGGAUUAUUUAGUCGAGAAGACUGGAGGUCUCAGGUUUGAAAGAAGAUCUCAGGACUAAGAUGGUCCCCAAACCUCCAUUAAUCUGA
rnacentral:lncRNA from 1 species